UACGUAGGAGACAAGCGUUGUCCGGAAUUACUGGGUGUAAAGCGCGUGUAGGCGGUAGGCCAAGUCUGCUGUGAAAUCGCCCGGCUCAACUGGGCGCGGUCGGUGGAAACUGGUCAACUGGAGGACGGUAGAGGCGAGUGGAAUUCCCGGUGUAGUGGUGAAAUGCGUAGAGAUCGGGAGGAACACCAGUGGCGAAGGCGGCUCGCUGGGCCGGUCCUGACGCUGAGACGCGAAAGCGUGGGGAGCGAACAGG
rnacentral:rRNA from 1 species